CCAGAUCUCAAGGGAGCUAACUAGGUCUACGAACCCCAGUCUGACCCCUUCAGCCGACAGGAGAGCAACUGCCCCCGGAUCCCGGAUCGCAGCUCCCUACCUCCGGUGGACGUCCAUCCGUCCUGUGGGGAAACUAAGGCCAACCUAGACAGGAUAUUAAAAAGCAGAGACAUUACUUUGCCAACAAAGGUCCAUCUAGUCAAAGCUAUGGUUUUUCCAGUAGUCACGUAUGGAUGUGAGAGUUGGACUAUAAAGAAAGCUGAGCCCCGAAGAAUUGAUGUUUCUGAACUGUGGUGUUGGAGAAGACUCUUUUGAGAGUCCCUUGGACUGCAAGGAGAUCCAACCAGUCCAUCCUAAAGGAAAUCAGUCCUGAAUAUUCAUUGGAAGGACUGAUGCUGAAGCUGAAACUCCAAUACUUUGGCCACCUGAUGCGAAGAGCUGACUCAUUGGAAAAGACCCUGAUGCUGGGAAAGAUUGAAGGCGGCAGGAGAAGGGGACGACAGAGAAUGAUGGCAUCACCAACUCAAUGGACAUGAGUUUUGAGUAAGCUCCGGGAGUUGGUGAUGGACAGGGGAGCCUGGCUUGCUGCAGUCCAUGCGGUCACAAAGAGUUGGACACGACUGAGUGACUGAACUGAACCGAACUGAAACUAAAUCCUAGAGAGUUAAAUAUUUGCUAAAGGCCAAACAACUAACUUAAUAGAAGUCCAGUUUUUUUCCACUUAAUACUCCCUUUCACAUGUUCGCCUCAGGUAUGCAGACCUUCAUCUGAAGAUUUUCAUGCAUCAGAAAAAAGUCAGAAGUGGUCAGGAUGGCGUUUCUGCCUGUUCCAAAUAGAGAUUUUGUGACUAAGAAGUAAAUAUCUGCAAGUUCACCCCAAUUUGAAGAAAAUGAGUUACGUAACAAAAUACAGGAAGUGAAAACUAGAGGGAAGUUACAUUCCUCUAAAGCUUACAUAACCGAACAGAUGCUGUGAAGUUAGUGAUGUGAAAAAUCUUCUACAAGCCUGGUUACACUUCACUGAAAUAUCUUGAGUUGCUUCAUCUUUCUGAUGAGUAGAAGUGGAUGAUAGUGGCAAGCUCACUGCUUUCUUUUUCAAUAACUCUCAGUGAACUGACGGGAAUUUGCAAAAACAAUGACUUUAGGUACAUGACAAAUUUAUCAUUUAAAGCCAUUACUUUGAUCAUUUUCUAAUAUAGUAGAAAUGAGCUGAUAAAGAGGAAGGAAGAUUUAUGAGUAAAAGUUUCAUGAAAUGAUGCCUUUACUUUGUAGGGGAGAAAUGUUAUGAUUAAAUAUAAUUUCACUAAUAUUUAAAUGCAGCAUAGAAAAAUAA